GUAGGUGGCAAGCGUUGUCCGGAAUUAUUGGGCGUAAAGCGCGCGCAGGCGGUUCUUUAAGUCUGAUGUGAAAGCCCACGGCUCAACCGUGGAGGGUCAUUGGAAACUGGAGAACUUGAGUACAGAAGAGGAAAGCGGAAUUCCACGUGUAGCGGUGAAAUGCGUAGAGAUGUGGAGGAACACCAGUGGCGAAGGCGGCUUUCUGGUCUGUAACUGACGCUGAGGCGCGAAAGCGUGGGGAGCAAACAGGAUUAGAUACCCUGGUAGUCCACGCCGUAAACGAUGAGUGCUAAGUGUUAGGGGGUUUCCGCCCCCCUUAGUGCUGCAGCUAACGCAUUAAGCACUCCGGCUGGGAGUACGGCCGCAAGGCUG
rnacentral:rRNA from 1 species